UGUGCGGGGGAUAACAGGAGGAAACUCCUGCUAAUACCGCAUAGCCAUGAGCACCGCAUGGAGCUCAUGCCAAAUAUCCUUCAGGGGAUAGCGCAGGGAUGGACCUAUGGCGCAUUAGCUAGUUGGCGGGGCAACGGCCCACCAAGGCAACGAUGCGUAGCCGGCCUGAGAGGGCGGACGGCCACAUUGGGACUGAGACACGGCCCAGACUCCUACGGGAGGCAGCAGUAGGGAAUUUUCGGCAAUGGGGGAAACCCUGACCGAGCAACGCCGCGUGAGCGAAGAAGGCCUUCGGGUCGUAAAGCUCUGUUGUAAAGGAAGAACGUCGCAUGCAGGAAAUGGUGUGCGAGUGACGGUACUUUACCAGAAAGCCACGGCUAACUACGUGCCAGCAGCCGCGGUAAUACGUAGGUGGCGAGCGUUAUCCGGAAUCAUUGGGCGUAAAGAGGGAGCAGGCGGCCGCAAGGGUCUGUGGUGAAAGACCGAAGCUAAACUUCGGUAAGCCAUGGAAACCGGGCGGCUAGAGUGCGGAAGAGGAUCGUGGAAUUCCAUGUGUAGCGGUGAAAUGCGUAGAUAUAUGGAGGAACACCAGUGGCGAAGGCGACGGUCUGGGCCGCAACUGACGCUCAUUCCCGAAA
rnacentral:rRNA from 1 species